CUUGCACACAUCUACUACACCAUCCACCACCAUUCAUUAAAAAUGCUAAAAAUAUUAUCACUCACUGUCCCAAGUGUUGUUAUUCUCUCUCUCUGAAAAGAUUAGAUGCAGAAGAGGCAUGGGUUAUGCAAAUAUAUGCGAGGAAAUAAAAAGGGGCAAGUGCCCGGAACCUCGAAAAAGAAAGAAAAAGAGUGAGAUGAGAGGUAAAAAUGGACAAGUGUCCAGAGUAGAAUUAGGGGUACAAAGAUGCCCACCUGAGCGGGAAAAAAUGGACAAGUGUUCGACAGUAGAAUUAGGGGUAUUCGUUACCCACCUGAAAAAAAAAGAGAGAGAAAAGAAGGAAAAGAUAGCCCAUGUUCUCCCAAAGCAAAGAUCAAAGAGGAGGAGAGAUAGCAAUAUGAGGAGCAAUGAGAAGUAAGUUUUAUCAUUACUUAUAUUUUCACCAUUACUAUCAUUUACUCCACCAC
rnacentral:lncRNA from 1 species